rnacentral:lncRNA from 1 species
UCUUCCCAAGAUCUUUUUCUUCGGAUGUUGAUACAUAUUGGCAUCUCUUGAUCCAUCAAGAGUCCAUGUAAAUCCGGAAUGAACACGCAAAGGCAUAAUUCACCAUAUCCCUUCCAAAUCAAGUAGAGUCCAUGUGCGUUUCAAUACAUUUAGUAAACGCAUGCUCCUGUGGUUUGGAGCCACUUGAUUCGGAUGAAUGAAGUCCGUUUAAGAUCUUCAUGUAUAUCUCUGAUCCCAUAGAGAUGUUAUUAUGACCACAUUCAUAGGCUGCAUGUUCAGUUAUUCGGAAACUACCAAAUUGACAAAGUAGUGGAGUUCAAUGACAUCCAUUACGAGAGCAUGUCUCAUCGUAGUUGAUCCCAGUGCGUGUUAGUGAGAGACCUUGCGCCAUAAGGUGAGUCUAAGCUCUUACUCUCACUACGCUAUCUAACAAAGGCAUAGUUGAUAAGGUUUAGCUUGCGGUGUCGGCAUCACCUGCCCAAGGACCUAUCUCUUUGUUAAUGCUGGAUCGUAUCUUUCCAUUAGGCCAAUCAACUAAGUUGAUAUCCAUCAACGAAGGGUGGUUCGAUAGUAGACUUAUUAUCUCACGUCCUCAUGUACACUAGUGUAAUACUUGUAGAGAUCUCUAUAUGGAUUGGAUUUGACAUUGAGGCGUCCCCCAACGAUAAUCACAAUUCACACUUCAUGAGACGGAUUUGAGUAUCACUGAUCAAUGGAUCAGGUUGUGCCAAGCUCGCUUUCUUUCUAGUGCAAGACAAUAUCGAACCUAAGGGCCUCCCUCCUUUUAGGGAGCCACACGGCCUUGUGACACCAAUUUUGCCACUAUAUGGCGUCACCAUAUCACCAUCCAUGGUGAUGGCGUCAAGACCAACACUUUUUGGUCACGCCAUGUCCUUUUGUAGGACAUCAAUCCUUGCAGACAUAUUUGCAGCAUGUGAUCUCGUCACUUUAACACUAUAAGCAUUUGGGAUCAAGAUGAGACUUAGUGGGGACAAACCACGACAAUUCACGUCGUUCCACUUGAACACUUGUGUUCUUAUCUCCCCCUAACGGCGGGAAUAUUGUCUCAUCAAAGUGACAAUCCGCAAUUUAGCGGUGAAUGAGAUCGCCUGACAAGGUUCCUACAUAUGCGGAUUAUAGGUGGAGGUUCAUAUCCAACCUAAACUUAUUCAUCUCAAAUGACCCAU